GUUCAUGUUGUAGCCGACAGAUAUUGGACUGGUGCAUCAGAUCAGACUGCUGAAGGCACGCCUACCUUCGAACUUGGAUCUUUAGGCGCAUUAACUCUUUCACCUGAUAGCAAUGGUGCUAAUUCAGACUGUGUAGCAUAUGAACCAGGAGACGAUUUAAUUUACAGAACAUGUCAAACUCAAAGAAAAUGCGUUUGUGAGAUACAGAUUCCCUGUGCAACUCAAAACUAGACAGAAACGAUAAAAGACCGUCAUUGAACAUCUAAGCUGCUAUAAAUAACUCAUCUACCCUUAUGAUCCUUUCCGAAUAACUUGAGAAGUUGUAAUUGUAUAGUGGCAGCACCCUUUUGUAAUGAAAUAUAUACUAAUUACCAUUCUGCCUUGUUUUAUCAUCUCUUUUUGUAGAUUGUACUUAUUUGAACUAUAGUUAUGAUUUUACAACUGAGCGUAGACAAUUGUGAUCGAAGCGUUUUCUGAUCUGCCUUCUUUAGUUAUAUGGCUACGUUGUAACUUUAAAAAUCAUUAGAAUUCAUAAAAAUGUCUUCUGUAUAUUGUUGAUAUCACUAGAUGAAGAUCUUUGUUGAUUAAUGAUGUAUCUCUGUGUAUUGUUGAUAUCACUAGAUGAAGAUCUUAGUUUAUUAAUGAUGUAUCUCUGUGUAUUGUUGAUAUCACUAGAUGAAAAUCUUUGUUGAUUAAUGAUGUAUCUCUGUGUAUUGUUGAUAUUACUGGAUGAAAUGCUUAGUUUAUUAAUGAUGUAUCUCUGUGUAUUGUUGAUAUCACUAGACAAUUGUGAUCGAAGCGUUUUCUGAUCUGCCUUCUUUAGUUAUAUGGCUACGUUGUAACUUUAAAAAUCAUUAGAAUUCAUUAAAAAUUUCUUCUG